rfam:Kordia algicida OT-1 1103813601120 genomic scaffold, whole genome shotgun sequence.
UAGGCGGUAUCCGAAAAGCCUACAAUCAAAUAGAGUAGGAA